rnacentral:lncRNA from 10 species
CAGAAUACUGCCUGUCCAGAUUGGGGGAAGGUUCCUAAGAGGAUAUUAUAGCAGUUUGGGAGAGCUGGCUAGAGGUUUGUGCCCAGGGGACCUGUGGUACCUACCCCCUACAAUGCAGUGCUACUACAUAACCACUCUGAUAUGAAAUCUUUGGCUGAGUUACAGAGGAGAGAUUCCAGGCCUGAGGCUGAGGGUAAGGAUGGUAGUCUCACCUCUCUUCUGUCUCUGGCUAUCAUCACGGAUAUUUCUCCCAUAAGAUUCAGUAUUUUCUCCCUGUGUGUGAAUGACAAAAGUAUUUACCUUGAUCACAUUGCUACAGUUGGAAGAGCUUCUAUAAGGAACCUCUCUGGGAGGCUCAUUAUCGGCCAUAGUUGAUGACAGGUAAUUGAAACUGUGGAAAGCAAAACUGUGAAUAAGGGAUGACUACUGCCUGUGUAAUAUAAUAAUUCCAAUUUUUGUCAGGUCAGUAUGAUGAUUCAACAUGCUAUAAGCCUAGAGUUAACUGACAUCAAAUUAUAUAUACUAGUAAUAAUAACUACAUUUAACUCUCAGGUAAAAUUUCUUACCACAUCAGUGCUUAAUGAAUAUAUAAUUUAUUUCCAAAGGAACCAACGCAAGUAUUUUAAUAUGUCUUUGAAUAAUACACAAUUCAUUUCAAUAGUAUUUACAGAUACCAUAUUUAUCUAUCCUCCACUCCCCACAAAACAUAUCGGCCAUUAAAUUACAAUUAAGAAUAGUUUAAACAUAGUUCUCUUUCUAGUAUCCUUCCAUUCAUGUUCCUUUAUUCAUUUUUCUUCCUUCAAUAUUUUGUAUGUCUUAAUUAAAAUAAGACAUCUAAAGUCUAAAAUCCUGUUUAUUUUUAAUUAAAUUUCAAUUUAUUUUUAAUUAUUUUUAAUAUUUAAUUUUGUGGGUAGACAGUAGGUGUACUUACGGGGUCCAUGAGAUAUUUUGGUAUAGGCAUGCAGUGCAUAAUAACAAUUUCAUGGGAAGUUGGGUAUCCAUCCCCUCAAGCAUUUUUCCUUUGUGCUACAAACAAUCCAUUUAUAUUCUUUUAGUUAUUUUAAAAUGGACAAUUAAAUUAUUAUUGAGUAUAGGCCCCCUUUUCUAUCAAAUACUAGGUAUUAUUCAUUCUUUCUAUUUUUUUUAACCUAUUAACCAUCCCCACCUUGCCCUUAUCCCCAACUGCCUUUACCAGCCUUUAGUAAUCACCCUUCUAUUCUCUAUCUCCAUGAGUUAAAUUAUUGUGAUUUUUGGAACCCAGAAAUAAGUGAGAAUAUGUGAUGUUUGUCUUUCUGUGCCUGGCUUAUUUCACUUAACAUAAUGACCUCCAGUUCCAUCUAUAUUGUUGCAAAUGACAGGAUCUCAUUUUGUUUUAAAUGGCUGACUGGUACUUCAUUGUGUACAAGUACCACAUUUUCUUUAUCCAUUCAUUCAUUGAUGGACAUUUAGGUUGCUUCCAAAUCUUGGCUGUGGUGAACAGUGCUGCAACAAACAUGGAAGUGCAAAUAUCUCUUAGAUAUACUGAUUUCCUUUAUUUUGGGUAUAUACUCAGCAGCAGGAUUGCUAGAUCACAUGGUAACUCUAUUUUUAGUUUUUUUCAGGAACCUCCAAACUGUUCUCCAUAGUCAUUGUACUGACUUACAUUCCCACCAACAGUGUUCAAGCUUUCCCCUUUCUCUACAUACUCACCAGCUUUUUUUUUUUUUUUUUUGAGACGGAGUCUCACUCUGUCCCCUAGGCUGGAGUGCAAUGGCAUGGUCUCAGCUCACUGCAACCUCC